rnacentral:rRNA from 1 species
AUUGAACGCUGGCGGCAUGCUUUACACAUGCAAGCCGAACGGUAACAGGCCGCAAGGUGCUGACGAGUGGCGAACGGGUGAGUAAUGCAUCGGAACGUGCCCAGUCGUGGGGGAUAACGCAGCGAAAGCUGCGCUAAUACCGCAUACGAUCUAUGGAUGAAAGCGGGGGACCGUAAGGCCUCGCGCGAUUGGAGCGGCCGAUGUCAGGUUAGGUAGUUGGUGGGGUAAAGGCUCACCAAGGCAACGAUCUGUAGCUGGUCUGAGAGGACGACCAGCGACACGGGGACUGAGACACGGCCCAGACUCCUACGGGAGGCAGCAGUGGGGAAUUUUGGACAAUGGGCGCAAGCCUGAUCCAGCAAUGCCGCGUGCAGGAAGAAGGCCUUCGGGUUGUAAACUGCUUUUGUACGGAACGAAACGGUCCGGGUUAAUACCCUGGGCUAAUGACGGUACCGUAAGAAUAAGCACCGGCUAACUACGUGCCAGCCGCCGCCGUAAUAC